rnacentral:sRNA from 1 species
AUUUAGAAUCAAUUAAUUCAACAUAUUUGAUAUUCAGUAUUUAGGGCAAUAUUCGGACGGACAUUCCACCGUUCCGACAAAGUGUGCUUCUUAAUUUCUAGAGGGACGUUUCUGUUCCCACGUACAAAUGAUAUCUGUACUGCACAGCCAUCACAUUUGCCUUCUCUAACAAGGAUUGGUAGAAGCCUGCGGUCCGUUUCUUAGAAGCAAUUACAGUAAUAUUUUCUUCUGUAUGAAGGUCGGCUUUUAAAAGUGCCACAAUUGUCACUAGAAAUUUAUUCUAAAUUUUACAUGUAAAUUCUCUCUCAUUAUUUUCUUACUAAUCUCAAACAAAGCUCAACUACAGAGUAUCUAUUCUCUUCAUAUUUAUAGGAGGAUAACGUUGUUCAUCAUUACUAAUUAACUACGCGAG